CGCGCACGGGUGAGUAACACGUAUCCAACCUGCCGAUGACUCGGGGAUAGCCUUUCGAAAGAAAGAUUAAUACCCGAUGGCAUAGUUCUUCCGCAUGGUAGAACUAUUAAAGAAUUUCGGUCAUCGAUGGGGAUGCGUUCCAUUAGGUUGUUGGCGGGGUAACGGCCCACCAAGCCUUCGAUGGAUAGGGGUUCUGAGAGGAAGGUCCCCCACAUUGGAACUGAGACACGGUCCAA
rnacentral:rRNA from 1 species